AUCUCAUACACAGCUCUGUAUAAUAGACUGUUGGGUUAUUAUGCUCUGCUGAAUGUCUAAAGAAUGUAAUAAGAAAUUGUACUACUUAAUACAUACUGUAUUAAGGAGAAGUGCAAAAAUAAAAGAAGUCUUAUGUCCUGCCCUUUUAAUCCUUCUUUAAAGAUUUUCAUUCUUUGGAUAAUGUUUAAAAUCCCACAGAUUUUUAAUAUAAGAAAAGAGACACCAAACAAGAUAAAAAAUCUAGUUGUUUCUGUCUUCUCAGGAAUAUGAAAUCUUCUUAUUACUUUUUUGUUGUUGUUAAUUCUAGGCUGACUCAGGAUAUCGCUACAGUGCAGUAUCAGCUCUGACUGCAGUACAGAGUAGAGAUACUGGAGCUCUCUUUAAACUGGCUAGCACAGGCAAAGAAGCAAUAGAGGUGAAAAUCCCACAGAAUCACCAAGAUGUGAUGCCUAAUGAUGAGCAGUAAUUACUGCAGCAACUCUUCAGCCAGCAUGAGUGUCAACGAAAUGUCUGCCUUCCCUCUGACUUUAGAGCAAAAAACUGGCUUUGCCUUUGUGGGGAUUU